GAUGAAGAACGCAGCGAAAUGCGAUAAGUAAUGUGAAUUGCAGAAUUCAGUGAAUCAUCGAAUCUUUGAACGCACAUUGCGCCCGCCAGUAUUCUGGCGGGCAUGCCUGUUCGAGCGUCAUUUCAACCAUCAAGCCCCCGGCUUGUGUUGGGGACCUGCGACUGCCGCAGGCCCUGAAAACCAGUGGCGGGCUCGCUAGUCACUCCGAGCGUAGUAAUACAUCUCGCUCAGGGCGUGCUGCGGGUUCCGGCCGUUAAAAAGCCUUAUUUACCCAAGGUUGACCUCGGAUCAGGUAGGAAGACCCGCUGAACUUAAGCAUAUCAAUAAGCGGAGGA
rnacentral:misc_RNA from 1 species